CACGUAGGGGGCAAGCGUUGUCCGGAUUCAUUGGGCGUAAAGAGCUCGUAGGCGGUUCGAUAAGUCGGGUGUGAAACCUCCAGGCUCAACCUGGAGACGCCACCCGAUACUGUCGUGACUAGAGUCCAGUAGGGGAGUGUGGAAUUCCUGGUGUAGCGGUGAAAUGCGUAGAUAUCUGGAGGAACACCGGUGGCGAAGGCGGCAUCCUGGACCGACACUGACGCUGAGGAGCGAAAGCCAGGGGAGCAAACGGG
rnacentral:rRNA from 1 species